AAAAAAAAACAGGAAAUAUUACAAUACCUGAUCGUCAGCAAACUUAGAGUGCUGCCAUAGGGUCAGCUCCUGGGAAAAGAAUAAAUACCGAGGCUCGACAAACUGAUAGCCCAGGUGGUGAAUGAUGAAUUUCUGCAUCGUUGGCAUUAUCUAAA